rnacentral:rRNA from 1 species
AUUGAACGCUGGCGGCAUGCUUUACACAUGCAAGUCGAACGGUAACAGGCCACGAGUUCCUGACGGGUGUCGGACGGGGGCGUAAUGCUUAGGAACGUGCCCAGUCGUGGUGUGUAACUACUCGAUAGAGUAGCUAAUAGCUCAUACGAUAUAUGGAUUAAAGCGGGGGGCCGUAAAGGUGCGCGAGAUUGGAGCUGCCGAUGCUAGAUGAGGUAGUUGUGGGGGUAAAGGCUCACCAAGUCAACGAUCAUUAGCUGGUCUGAGAGGAUGAGCAGUAACACUGGGACUGAGACACGGCCCAGACUCCUACGGGAGGCAGCAGUGGGGAAUUUUCGACAAUGGGCGCAAGCCUGACGCAGCAAUGCCGCGUGCAGGAUGAAGGUCUUCGGGUUGUAAACUGCUUUUGUAAGGAAAGAAACGGUUCUGAUUAAUAUCCGGGGAUAAUGACGGUACCGUAUGAGAAAGCACCGGCUAACUACGUG